rnacentral:rRNA from 1 species
GACGAACGCUGGCGGCGUGCCUAAUACAUGCAAGUCGAGCGGACUUUCAAGAAGCUUGCUUUUUGAAAGUUAGCGGCGGACGGAUGAGUAACACGUGGGCAACCUGCCUGUAGACGGGGAUAACUCCGGGAAACCGGGGCUAAUACCGGAUAAUAUCUUUCUUCGCAUGAAGGAAGGUUGAAAGGCGGCGCAAGCUGCCGCUUGCAGAUGGGCCCGCGGCGCAUUAGCUAGUUGGUGAGGUAACGGCUCACCAAGGCGACGAUGCGUAGCCGACCUGAGAGGGUGAUCGGCCACACUGGGACUGAGACACGGCCCAGACUCCUACGGGAGGCAGCAGUAGGGAAUCUUCCGCAAUGGACGAAAGUCUGACGGAGCAACGCCGCGUGAGCGAAGAAGGUCUUCGGAUCGUAAAGCUCUGUUGUCAGGGAAGAACAAGUACCGUUCGAAUAAGGCGGUACCUUGACGGUACCUGACCAGAAAGCCACGGCUAACUACGUGCCAGCCGCCGCGGUAA